rnacentral:lncRNA from 1 species
UGAAUCCAUUGUUGGAGAUUGCCCAAAAGAUUUUGGCAAGAUCCAUAAAUGAUCCUUUAAUUGAUCGCAAAAUUAACGUGGAUAGAAAUUCUACAGAAAAUUGAGAUUAAACAACUAAAUUGAGAUGUACUUACCGAUUCUUUGGCGAAGAUUAAGGAUGUUAUUUGAUGAUACCCCUAAGAAAUCAAGAACGAGGUUCAUCCAAUAUGAGAAAGAAAAUAUUCAAUAGUAAAUGAUGAAAAAUAUGAUGUAAAGGAAGAGAAAUAAAAGAAAAAUUCUAUUGGGAUUUGAAAAGCAGCAAAUUGAAAAUCUAAUUAGGAAAAGAAGAUAAAAGGAUGGUAGAAUUCUAGUUCUAUUGGAAUUUUGAGGAAAGAGUAAGAUAUGAAUUCUAAUUAGGAAAGAAUUGGUUAAAUUCCUAGGGUUCUACACUUGAAGUUUUCACAAUAAUUUGCCAAAAAUUGAAAUUAAAAUGAAAGUGGAGGAAGAGGCUCGAACUCGGGUUCUUAAGGGGGAACUAACACUUAACCAUUGAUUGUCACCCAUUUCUUGUUAGUUUUUGAUGCUUAAUCAUAUUGAUAUGGUUUUUUUGUGUUUUUGGUGAAAUUAUGAAAUAAAAAUGGAAAUAGGGGGCUAGAACUUGGGUCUGUAGGGGUACCAAUGCCUUAACCGUUGGGCUAAUGCCUGGGAAGGGCUCUAGCGUGUCUAGCAUGCUAACCUUUAAGAUUAAGCCUAUUUCUUAUUUAGUGUUUACCCCCGACAAUAUUUAUUUUUGUGUGGUUUUUAUUCUAGCUUGCUGAAAAUUAAAAGAAAAAGAAAUAAGAAUAAGGUUUGAACCUAAGCUCUCUAAGGAGGGAAGCUAUCACUUAACCAUUAGGCCUGAAGCCUACUUCUUACUUAAUCUUAUUUAUUAAAUAUAUAUAUUUAUUUCGAUUUCGACUUACAUAUUCUUUAUUAGCUUACACAUUUACUCAAAAUUUUUUAUUAACUUAUUUAACUUAUAGUUCAAGCACAUUCCAUCUUAGUCUAUAUAUAACAAUUAAUACUCAUAGUCAAGUCUCAAUAUUAAUAUUUUUAAUUCAUUUCACCCUUAGUAAACUCCAAUAAAAUGACUUAGAUACACGGAAACCAUUAAGCCUAAUAUUCAUUUCUUAUUUAACAUACGACAUAAGUAACAUUAUUAAUUCAAUAAUUAAAUCAUGUGUACAAUAUAAAACAAUUUAAUAAAGGCAAUAAUUUAAAGAAAAUUCUAGAACUGAUAAGUAAAACUUAUUUAAUUUUUAAAACAAAGUUUAAGGAUUAAAUCAUAAUUUUAGUAAAACCCUUUUGUAAAAUCAAGAGUAAAAUUAUGGAAUUAUCCAAAUAAGACUUAAUCAAGCAAAUUUUCAAGCCAUUUCAUACCAUUUAGGGACUUCAAUUGCAUAGCAUAAAAAUCAAGACUAAAUUGCAGGGAUAACAAAACAUGCCCAAAUUACAUAUGACACAUUGACACCUAUACAUAUUAUUUCGUGUUUUCAUCCCAAUUUUUCCUAUCCUAACAUAUCGUAUAUCAUACAUAGAUCACACAAAUCAUGAUAACUUACACUAAAACAUACAUUAACACACUUUAACAAUCAUGCGUAUUCAAGCUUAAAUCCAAUCAAUCAAUCAACUGCAAACCCAAUUCUUCUAUCCCCAUUUUUGGGAUGUUACAAAUAUAAUAGAUACAUAUAAUUUUGGAAAAAAACUAAAUAAAAUAUUUUUUUUGAAAAAAAUAGAGAAAAUCAAACUUGUAUUUUAAUAUAUAUAUAAUAAAUUAAAAGGUAAUUUCAUCAUUAUCCAACUAAGAUGGUAUCCAGCUAAUUCGUGACAUCAACUUAGUCAAAUUCUUAAUAUAUGAGCAAAUUAUGACACCCCUACGAUGUGUAUGAAAAAUAAAAUUAUGUAACAAAUAUUUGUGAAAAAAUUGAUGUAACACCCCUUACCUGUAUUCGACGCCGGAAUAGGGUACGAGGUAUUACCGGAACACAUACACUUGUAAACGUAUUAAAUCGAGCCAUAAAACUUCAAAUUAAAAUUUUUCAAAUUUUUAUCUUUGAGUCCCUAAAUAGGGCCUACGAGGCCCAAUACAUAGUCAUUCAACCAACUCAUGCGAGCUUGCACAUCCACAAAAUACAACAUCAUAAACAUAUAACUUAACUAAUAUUAGCCAACCUCUAUGGCCUUAUACAAAAUGAACUAUCAAAUAUUAUAAGCAAACAUUUUAGGCCAAUUCAUAAUAACAUAGACACACAUAAUCAAAUCCCUAUACAUGCCAUAGACUUAAAAAUACUUGAAGAUCGUUGAUACAAUACCAAUCAAAAACUUGUUAGUGUGAUAGAAUCUCCAACGACCUCUAACUCGAGCUAGCAUCUGUGACACUAUAGGAAAAAGGAAAGGAAUGGGGGGUAAGCAUUAUAGCUCAGUAAGUAGGUAUGUAAAUAAUAAGUGAUUUAUUAACAGGCUUUUAUUAAUCUUCACAAUAUGUUCUCAAGAUAAUACAAUCAUAAUUGCACAUAGUUUCAUUACUUAUUCAUGUUCAUCUCAAGCUGUCUACUCGAGUCACGGUCACUCAAUUAUUUAUAUCUUGAGCGACGAAACUCCAAAUUAAGAUCUGAUAAUUUUCCCUGAAACUAGACUCGCAUAUCUUCUUACCAUAAAAUUUUCAAAUUGUUUAGCCAAUAAGUACAGUUUAUUCUUUAAAGUCAUCCCUAUUCUGCUGUCUGACAGUUUUAACCCUUCUUCACUAAAAAUUAAUUAUCUCCUACUACAGGAUUCAGAUGAUGUUCUCGUUUGUUUAUUUUGAAAAUAGACUCAUUAAGGAUUCUAAACAUAUAAAUUUUAACCCAUAAAUAUUUUUUUUACAAUUUUUAAUGAUUUUCCCAAGUCAGAAUAGGGGAUUCAGAAAUCAUUUUCACCCUGUCUCACUAAAAUUUAAAUAUCUCAUAAUAUGAAAUUCUUUUCCUUACACCGUUUCUUUCAUAUGAAAAUAGGCUCAAUAAGCAUUUAUUUCUUAUCUUAUUCAACUUCUAAUUUAGUUUCCACCAUUUUUGGUGAUUUUUCAAUUUCACAUAACCGCUACUGUCUAAAACUAUUUUAUUUCUAAAUUUCACUCUUUCAUGUUUUCUUUAUAGUAACUUUCAUUGUAACACUUACUUCGUAUCAAUCUUACCAAAGUUCGAUCAUACAUCGAGUACAUUGCUCAUAAGUUUACACACACAUUCCUGCACUUAUUCAUCACAUGUCAUAUUCGUUUACAAUUAGUCAUUUCCCGUUAAACACAUCGGAAUAAUAACGGAUAUCCGGUGGCCUGCACAUAGUACCACCUUUGUUGCCAAAGCUACCUUCUUCACAAAGUGGGUUUCACAUAGUACCACACUUGUGACCAAAACUAUCUAUUCUCAAAGUGGCCUUCACAUAGUACCACACUUGAGCCACUAGUGACAUGUCACUUGUAUCAUAUUCUAUUCCUAAUGUUCAACCGGGAAAUUUCAUUCAAUAUUCAACCACAUUUUAUAAAAUAUAAUAAAAUAUGAUAACGUAAGUAAAAAUGAUGCAUUAUUUAAACACAAACUUACCUCAGUAGCAUAAUCGGUGAAAAGGACUUAUUCGUCAUAUUCUUUGUUUUUCCCUUGUUUUAAGUCCGAAUCUCGUUUUUCCUUGAUUUAUAACAACACAUUUAACUCAUUUAUUCAUCCUCUUACUCAAAUUAGCCUAAAUUCACAUUUUGGAAAAUUUUAUAUUUUUUCCCCUAAACUUUGUCAUAUUUACACUUUUGCCCCUAGGCUCGUAAAAUGUUUUUUAUUCAAUUUUCUUGUAUUUUAAGCCUAGCCAAACCAUUUUCGUCACUAUAGCAAUUCGUAAUUUCCAUUUAUUCGUAAUUUCCAUUGUUAUCAGUGAUGUACUAUAACAAUUCGUAAUGACAUUCGAUACUUUACAUUCUAGUAAUAAAACACAUUCCAAUCCGUUCAAUAGUACAUCACUGAUAACAAUCAAAAUUACCCGAGGAAAGAAAAUCAGUAUACAAUUUGAACUUGACUGUCAUAAUCCACACUUUUUCCAAUAUCAACUCCAAAGAUAAGCCAUACUUGAUAAAUUAAACAAUAAGGAUGAUAAGAAAAUCGAGAUAAUGAAAUCUGAGAUACAAGACCAUACUAAAUGUCUGAGAACACCACUCAUAUGAAAUAAUAGAGAUACUGACGAUUCCUCAGAGAAAACCAGAAGAAAAAAAAACACUCUUCAUACAUUCCGAAAUCAAUUGUAAUAGAGAUAGUACAUUUUCCAUAUAGAUGUAAAUAGAACAACAGCCAAAAGAAACAGAAGAAUAGUUUCAUAUAAAUUCAUUAUCAACUUUUUACCUCAGAUGUAACGAAAUAGAAUACCAAUAGAAGAUAGUGGAAUGUCGAUCAUAGAUCAAUCAGACCAACGAUACUUUCAUCAGAAAACGAGAAAUUACAAAUGCCUUUGAGAAUAUAUAAACACAUAGAAUACCUAAAAGAGAUAGUCGUAAAUUGCUUAACUGUAACUGUCAUACUCAAACAUAUUUACCUUUCAAACAUUAUUCUUCUAACUAAUUCUGUCAUCACUAAUCUCAUAAUAUUUCAUUCAUUAAGAAAAUCAACUUAGAAGAAUUCCCAAUAAAUACAAUCUUUAGAAAUCAUACUUGAAUGAGUCGAUUUAACCGAAAUUAAAUCCUCCUCUAGCUGUGGCUUUGUGCAUUCCAAGUAAUCUUUAGAAUAAUCUGAUAUCUUUCUCAUAACCGUCUUUGCUCGCUAAAUCAUUCCCGUCUCUAAUCACAUCAUUAAUUAUUCCACCACUGAACUCUUUAGUUUUCCCACUUGUGAGCUUAUUCAAUAUAAAUCUCGUGAACUUCGUCAUAUGACACUAUACCGGUAAGCGGGUGAAGAUUGUAAAGCCUUUAAAGUUUUGACUCUCAUACAUACACACAUACAAUAUAGCAUUUAAUACCAACACAAUAUCAUGUACUUUGAUUACACAUCUCUAGGUUUCUAUUAAUCAUAAACACAUUUUCAAAUAUUUUGGUAAUACAUUCAACAUUAUCACAUAUGAAUAUCAAUCAAUCAUAAUAAGCUCAUCGCAAAAUAAAUUUUCACUUUAUUCACUGCAAAAACUCACUCUAAUGCAUCAAAAUGCAAUGUUCAAUUGGAACGAUAACAUCUUAUCCAUAUUCCUCAACUUUUGGUUAAUCCAUUGUACUGUAUCCAUUAACACAUACAUAUCAUUGCAAAUCACAAAGAUCAAUUUAAGCAGAUCAACAUAUUCACUAAGUUAUACGAGCUUACUUAUCCCUUUUUAGCAUUAUCGAUGGUAGCUCGGUUGCAAAGCAUCUCUACUUUGAAAAAAUAAUCUAAUCGGAGUCGGGAGAUAUCACACUAUCACAGGUCACAUAUAGCAUGUAUAGCUAGGCUCUUGCACACGCUAUGUUAGCCCGAGAAUCGACUAAACCAUAGCUCUGAUAUAACUAAAUGUAACACCCCUUACCCGUAUUCAAAGCCAGAAUAGGGUACGAGGCAUUACCGGAACACAUACACUUGUAAACGUAUUAAACCGAGCCAUAAAACUUCAUCCAAAUUAAAACUUUUCAAAUUUUUAUCUCUAAGUCCCUAAAUAGGGCCUACGAGGCCCAAUACAUACUCAUUCAACCAAGUCAUGCAAGCUUGCACAUCCACAAAAUACAACAUCAUAAACAUAUAACUUAACUAAUAUUAGCCAACCUCAAUGGCCUUAUACAAAAUGAACCAUCAAAUAUUAUAGGCCAAAAUUUUAUGCCAACUCAUAAUAACAUAUACACACAUAAUCAAAUCCCUAUACAUGUCAUAGACUUAAAAAUACUUGAAGAUCGUUGAUACAAUACCAAUCAAAAACUUGUUAGUGUGAUAGAAUCUCCAACAACCUCCAACUCGAGCUAGCAUCUGUGACACUAUGGGAAAAAGGAAAGGAAUGGGGGGUCGGCAUUGUAGUUUAGUAAGUAGGUAUGUAAAUAAUAAGUGAUUUACUAACAGGCUUUUAUUAAUCUUCACAAUAUGUUCUCAAGAUAAUACAAUCAUAAUUGCACAUAGUUCCACUAUUUAUUCAUGUUCAUCUCAAGCUAUCUACUCGAGUCAUGGUCACUUAAUUAUUUAUAUCUUGAGAGAAAAAACUCCAAACUAAGAUCUAAUAAUUUUCCACAAAACUAGACUCACAUAUCUUCUUACCAUAAAAUUUUUAGAAUUUUUAGUUUAUCCAAUAAGUACAGUUUAUUCUUUAAAUUCAUCCCUGUUCUGCUAUCUGAUAGUUUCAACCCUUCUUCACUAAAAAUUAAUUAUCUCCUUGUACAGGAUUUGGAUGAUGUUCUCAUUUGUUUAUUUUGAAAAUAGACUCAUUAAGGAUUCUAAACAUAUAAAUUUUAACCUAUAAUUAUAUUUUUACAAUUUUUAAUGAUUUUCUAAAUUCAGAAUAAAGGAUUCCAAAAUCAUUCUGACCCUGUCUCACUAAAAUUAAAAUAUCUCAUAAUAUGAAAUUCUUUUACUUACAAUGUUUCUUUUAUAUGAAAAUAGACUCAAUAAUAUUUUAUUUCACAUCUUAUUCAACUUCUAAUUCAGUUUCCACCAUUUUUGGUGAUUUUUCAAAGUCACACAACCGCUGCUGUCCAAAACUAUUUUAUUUCUAAAUUUCAGUCUUUCAUGUUUUCUUUAUAGUAACUUUUUUUGUAACACUUACUAUGUACCAAUCUUACCAAAGUUCAAUUAUAUAUCGAGUAAAUUGCUCAUAAGUUUACACACACAUACCUGCACUUAUUCAUCACAUGUCAUAUUCAUUUACACUUAGUCAUUUCCCGUUAAACACAUCGGAAAAAUAACGGAUAUCCGAUGGCCUGCACAUAGUACCACCUUUGUUGCCAAAGCUACCUUCUUCACAAAGUGGCCUUCACAUAGUACCACACUUGUGACCAAAGCUAUGUCUUCUCAAAGUGGCCUUCACAUAGUACCACACUUGAGCCACUAGUGACAUGUCACUUGUAUCAUAUUCUAUUCCUAAUGUUCAACCGGGAAAUUUCUCACUUUUCGAUACUUGUCAAUUUCAUUCAAUAUUCUGCCACAUUUUAUAAAAACGUAAUAAAAAAUGAUAACAUAAUUAAAAAGGAUGCAUUAUUUACAUAAAAACUUACCUCGAUAGCACAAUCGGUGAAAAGGACUUAUUCGUCAUAUUCUUUGUUUUCCCCCCUUCUAAGUCGGAAUCUCAUUUUUCCUUUAUCUAUAACAACACAUUUAACUCAUUUAUUCAUCCUGCUACUCAAAUUAGCCUAAAUUCACAUUUUGGAAAAAUUACAUUUUUACCCCUAAACUUUGUCAAAUUUACACUUUUGCCCCUAGGCUCGUAAAAAAUUUUUAUUCAAUUUUCUUGUAUUUUAAGCCUAACCGAACCAUUUUCAUCACUAUAAUAGUCCGUAAUUUCCAUUUAUUCACACACUUACACACAUUUUACAACUUUUUACAAAUUAGUCUUUUUUUUUACAACUUCAUCGAAAAUCACUCAGUAAAAGUCAUUUACUACACACCGAGCAUUCAUUUUCUACCAUUAAACAUCAAAACAGAAUCAUUUCUCAUAUGGGUAAAUUUUCAAACAUCAACCCUAGCUCAAAUAAAUGAUAGACAUAAAGAGAUCGUGUUAUGAGGGUUUCAAAAACGUAAAGAGCAUUAAAAAUAGGGCAAAGAUGGACUUACUAUUGAGCUUUUUAGCUUUUUUGUCUUUUAGUCCAUUUAAUUACCAAUUUACAAAGAUGCCCUUUUUACUCUUCCUUAAAUUUUUACCCUUUCAUGUCUAUUUUUGUCCAUUAUGACAUAAAAUGGUCUAAUUACUAUAUAAGGACCCCUAAUUUAAAAACUCAUUCCAAUCAAGUACCUUUAUGAACUAGAACACACAUUUUUCAUUUAUUUUAAUUUAGUCCUAAAUAUUAAUUCGGAUACCCAAACAAUAAAAUUUCGUAACAAAAAUUCCACACAGUCAUUCAAUCACACAAUAAACAUUAAAACUUAAUCGGAAUAAAUUUUUCUUACUACAGAUUUGAGGUUUCAAAACUACUAUUCCGAUUAGGCCCUAAAUCGGGUUGUUACAAUUGAUAUAAAUUAACCAUGGGAGUUAAGUGAGAUGGCAAUGGUCUCUCCUACCUUAACCAGUGGUCGAGAGUUUGAUCCUCGCUUUAGGUGUGGAGCAACUUUAAAAAUUGUGGCCAGCAUAUACCCUAUUAAUGGGCGUAUAGAAUACGGAGGAUUAGUUAUUGAGCUCGCUCCAGAAGGAUACCUAAAGAAAUAAAAAAUUUGAUAUAAAUUACAACUUUGGUUGAAUGGUAAAGUACAAAUAUGAAAAAUUAAAAAGACAUGAGUUCAAAUAUUAUUAUGUGAGUAUAUAGUACCUCCCAAAAUAAUACAAUUUACUUUGUAAAGAGAGGUAUUUUGAUCUUGCCCCAACCUAGUUGGUAUCCGGUUAACCCAUGAUGCUAAAUCAAAGUCUUAAGAAUAAGUAUAGGUAUAGAUACAUAUGAUUUGAGAAAAACUAAUAAUGAUAUUUAUCUUUGAAAACAAUAGAUAAAACUAAUAAAAAUAAUUUUAUUUAUUAUUUAAAUGUAUUUAAAUAAUUUGAAAAAAAAGUUUAUCCAAUUUAUCACCUAAAAAGAUCUACCAGUUAUUAUAAAUUCCGUUUGAUUGAAUUAUAAAACAAUUAUAGUAGGUGAUAUCAUUCUAAGCGACAACAAUCUCAUGUUCAAGCUCUAGUAAAUGUGAUUUAUAAAAUUUUAAAAAUAUUAAAACUUCUAAAUAUUUUUUAAAAUUUUAAAAAUAGUAAUUUUAUAUUUUUAUAUUUCUUUUGUAAUUUAUAAUUAUGUAAAUUUUAAAUUAUUUUUUCCAUUUUUAAAUUUUUAAAGAUUUUCCAUGAUAAUGUUAUCGUAUAACAUGUGGUAAUGUCUGAUUCGUUGAAUAUCUCAAUUAUUAGGUUUUAAUGUCCAAAGGAAUAAACUAAAAAUUUCUGAUAAUGUUAGGAACUAAAAUAGACAAAAAAAACUUUAAGAACUAAAGGAAAAAGUGGUAUACUUAUUAUAAUGAUCGAGGCAAUGGGGCAUUUAGGCAAGGGGUUGAACGUUCUUUAGAACUUCCUAGAGAGGAUAGAGAAAAGGUGGAUGUAGAAGAUUACCCUAUCGGUCUAGUAGGUGGGAAGAAGAGACAACAGAUAGGUUAUGGUGACGACGAGAAUAGCAAACCAAUGGAAACAGACUCAAAAAAUAUUAUAUCGAUGGCCUCUAAGCUGGCUGACUGGUCGCAAUGAAAACCUUGAGCUGGAACGUUCGUAGGUUGGGGCAACCACGGACGGUGUGACAUCUCAAAAAUAGCUUGAGACGGAUUCAGCCCGAACUUUUGUUUCUUAUAGAGACAAAGGUAAGCUUAAGAAAGAUGGAAAGAAUAAGAAGAUCAUGUAGCUAUAUCAAUGGGAUAGACGUCAGUGCAAAUAGGUCAAGGGGGGAUUAUCACUUGGUUGGAAGGACAAUGUUAAUAGUACUCUAAAGAGUUUUUCCAAUUCUCAUAUUGAUUUUGAUUUUCAGGAAGAUAAUAGGGAAGAUGAUUGGAGGUUCACAGGUUUUUAUGGAGCUCCUGUUGUAAGUAUGAGGAAAGAAUUAUAGAACUCAUUGAGAAAACUAAAGGUUGAAAACCAAUCACCAUGGUUGGUCAUGGGAGAUUUCAACGAAGUGAUGUUCUCCUUUGAAAAUAAAGGAGGGAGGUUGAGAGAAGAAAGACAAAUGGAAGCAUCUAGGGAUCUGCUGGAGGAGUGUGAUCUGAGUAUUUUGGGCUUCCAAGGAUAAUGGUUUACUUGGGUGUGGGAGAGGCUGGCCACUAAUAAUAUAAGAGAAAGGUUGGACAGAGCAGUGGUAAAUUUGGAUCGGUGGACUAUAAUUCCAGAAUAUGCAGUCUCUCACCUUCCUCAUAGUUUUUCAGAUCAUUGUCCAGUACUAAUAGACACACUGGGAAAGAGGGAUACAAUUUUGGCAAAAUGUCAUCCCCCUUUCGGUUCAAUGCUGACUGGGUCCUUGAGGAAGACUUUGAGGAUCAAGUAAAAUAAGGUUGGGCAAGGAAUGAGAAUGAGCUACAUGAAAAAAUCAAAGAAUUGGGACAAUUUCUUAUGAAGUGGAGCCGAAUGAAAAAAAUGAGCAAACAAUGAAAAGUGGAGUUGCAUGCAAAGCUAGGUUUCUGAACAAUGAAGAUCCUGAAGAAGAAAUACUAGCAAAAAUUAUGGAUAUCAAAUUAGCCCUAAACAUGGAAGCUGAUAAGGAGGAAUUAUUUUGGGAACAACGUACGAUAGUUAAUUGGCUACGAAUGGGAGACAAAACCCCUCUUUCUUUCAUAAUUUUGCAUCCUACCAUAAGUAGAGGAAUACUAUUAAAGAACUAGAAGACAUGAGUGGGAAACGGGUGGAAGGAGAACCAAAAUUAAUGGAAUUAGCGAAAAACUAUUUUGAAAAGUUGUUUUCGACAAAGCCUCUGAGUUUUUGCAAUUUGCUUAUGAACAACAUAUAGUCGUGUAUACCAAGCAGUAUUAAUGAAGAACUGAAAGCCAACUUUAAGGAAGAAGAUAUAAUCGAAGCUUUGAAAACAAUGACACCACUAAAAACUUCUCAACAUACAAUUUUCCCGCUUUCUUUUAUCAAAAGUUUUGACAUAUUGUAAAGAGAGACAUUAUCAAUUUCUGUUUGGAGGUAUUGAACAACCAUAAGGAGAUUGAUGUGAUAAAUGACACCAAUAUCGUGUUGAUUCCCAAAAUUCAAACACCAAAGAAUAUGAGCCAGUUUAGACCAAUCAGUUUGUGUAAUGCCGUUUACAAAAUCAUCUUAAUGUUAACAGAUUUAUUGGAGAAACAUAAGGUGCGUUUGUGCUUGAUAAACAAAUUACUGACAAUAUUCUAGUUGCUUAUGAGGUUUUACAUUCCUUCAAAAAGAAAUGAUUUGGGCAUAGGAAUUUUGCAUUAAGACUUGACAUGAGCAAAACCUAUAAUAGGGUGGAGUGAGGGUUUUUGGAAAGGAUGAUGAGAAGCCUCAAUUUUUGUGAAAAUUGGGUGACAUUGAUUUUGAGAUGUGUGAUAAGUGUUUUAUUCAGCGUUAUUAAACGGGGAACAAUGAAGGAAUUUUAAACCGACUAGGGGGCUUAGGCAAGGUGACCCUUUAAGUCCAUACAUGUUUAUUAUAUGUGUAGAAGGUUUUUCAAGAUUACUAAACCUAGCAAAAACAGAAGGGAAGAUAGAAAGAGUCAAGGUAGGAAGAGGGGGGUUCCUUUAACACAUUUUUUUUUCGCAGAUGACAACAUAUUGUUUAGAAAUGCCAUAGUUGAAGGGGCGUUGACUAUGAAGGGAAUUACAAAAGAAUAUGAAGAUAUGUACGGACAAUUGGUAAACUUUGAUAAAACCAUGAUUUAUUUUAGCAAUAAUACAAUGGAAAGGGGCAGAAUUCGAAUUGGAAACAAAUUUGGGGUAAGAAUUUCGAAUAAUCCCAAAAAAUACCUUAAGUUACCUAUGAUGGUGGAGAGAGAAAAAAAUACAUUUGUCAAUAUAAAAGAAAAUUUUCUUAAAAGAGUCAAGAGUUCACUACACCAAAACAGGCUUUUAGCGGCAUUUUUAGUGGCGUUUGGAUAACAAACGCCACUAAAAAUCAAGCAUUAGCGGCGCUUUUAUAAAAACACAUCUAAAGGUCAAGCAUUAGCGGCGCCUUUUGGAAAACGCCGCUAAAAGUAAGCAUUAGCGGCAUUUUUUGAAAGGCGCCGCAAAAAGCCUAAGCCCAACGACACCGUUUUCUGAGUUUUUGGGGCAUUUAGCGGCGUUUUUGAAAAAGCGCCGCUAAUGCUUGGGCCUUUAGUGGCGUUUUUGAGAAAGCGCCGCUAAUGCUCGGGCCUUUAGCGGCGUUUUUGAAAAAGCGCCGCUAAUGCUCGGGCCUUUAGCGACAUUUUUGAAAAAAAGCCGCUAAUACUCGGGCCUUUAGCGGCGUUUUUGAAAAAGCACCGCUAAUAAUAAUAAAUUCUAAAACCAUUUCAAUUAUCUCAUUCUUUGAUAUAUUCUCAAGUAAUGUUUCAAUUAUAUUUUUUUAUUAUAAGUUGAAAAAAUUGAUAUUUCGUUGUAUUUAUUAUAUAUUGGUCAAAUUUACAUUUAAAUGAUAACAAAUAAUAUUGUUUAAUACAAAAUGUUUUUAUUAAAGAGAAGUCCUAACUCUUAACUAUUUAUUAUUAUUUUUCAAUCACAGUUUAUUUUAACUACUUUACUAGAAAAAUAUAUUAAAUUAUGAGUAAAAUAAAAUAUCAUAAAACUUAAAUUGUUGUGUUGUAAAGAAUAAAAAAUAGAAUAAUUUUUUUAAGAAUAAUAAAUUUUGAUAGUUCAAUUAAAUAAAUCAAAGAAAGUGAAUGAAAAGGGGUUUAUGGGUUGUUACUUGGUCUAAUACCCACUAGAAAUUAAUACUAGCUAGGUUUUUUAGGCUGAGAAAGGGGUUUAGGGGUUAAGAGUUAGGGAUUUAGGGGUCGAGUUAGGAUUUUGGGCGUUUAGAUUAAUUUUUUUAAUUUAUAUUUUAAAUAUGUUCUUAUAUAAUUGUAAAAGAGAUAAUAAUAAAUUUGUUUAGGGUUUUUGGUUUAGGGUAUAUGAUUUAUUUAAGAUUUAAGGCUGGUUUAGGAGUUCAUAUUUUAAGGUUUAGGGAGUAUGGGUUUAGAGAUUAUUGAUUAGGGAUUAUGGUUUAGGGGUUGGGAUUUAAGGUUUAGGGGUUAGGGGUUUAAGGGUUAAGUACGUUAGGGGUUAAAAGUUAGGGAUUUAGGGAUCGGGUUAGGGUUUUGAGUUUAGAUUAAUUAUUUUUUAAUUUAUAUUUUAAAUAUGUUCUUAUGUAAUUGUAAAAGAAAUAAUAAUAAAUUUGUUUAGGGUUUUUAGUUUAGGGUAUAUGAUUAGUUUAAGAUUUAAGGCCGGUUUAGGAAUUCAUAUUUUAAGGUUUAGGGAAUAUGGAUUUAGGGAUUAUGGAUUAAGGAUUUAAGGUUUAGGGAUUCAAGAGUCGGGUUAAGGUUUUGGGUUUAAAUUAAUUAUUUUUUUAAUUUAUAUUUUAAAUAUGUUCUUAUAUAAUUGUAAAAGAGAUAAUAAUAAAUCAAAUAUAUUGAAAUUAUGAGUAUAGUUUAAAUUAUUUAAAAGAUAUAUAAUAGAUAGACUUUAUAUGUAUUGAAUGAUUAAUUUAGGGUUUAAGUUUAAGGUUUACUUGAGAUUUGUUAAAUGAUAAAAUUUUAUACAAUUAAUUAAUGCUUUUAUAGUUAAAAUUUUUAAUCUAAAUCAUUUGAUAUAUUUAAAUAUUAGUUUAAAUAGAAUUAAUAAAUAAGUUAAAAAAAGUAAUAGAUUGAUAUGGAUAUUUAGGUAUAAUUAAUAAAUCAAUUUAUAAAAAAAAAAAAAAAAAUUAGCAUAGUAAAACGGCGUCAUUUUGUUCAAAAUGAAAUAAUUUUUUGCGGCGUUUUUAUGAUAGCAAAAAAUAAAUCAAUUUAUAAAAAAAUUUAGCAUAGUAAAACCCCGCAAAAAUUGUUUCACUUUUACGCGCUUUUAUUCCUAAAUUCCCCCCUGAAAUCCCUAAAUUUUCCCCCCUAAAAUUGGUAUCCUUAAAACACCCAAGUGUUUCUCUCUGCCACCACCGUCUUCAUCAUCAUCUUCCCCUCUCUCCCUCUUUUUGCAUACAUCUCAGAAGAGCUCAUACUUUAUCUGUUUCUCAUGUGACUCUGAAGCCUCUUUCUUUCCUUCAACAUACCCAAGGUAAAGUUUUCUCAACUUCUUCUCAAUCAUUUAUUUCCUUCUUUAUCUGUUUUAAUUCUUCAUGUGACUUUCCUUUUCUCAACUUCUUCUCAAUCAUUUAUUUCCAUUUCCUUCAACAUACAACUUCUUUAUCUAUUUUAAUUUUUCACUUUCUCUUCUGCAUUUCAGUUACGUUUUAUGUUCGUUUACUCAGAAAAUGAUACCACUUUUUUCUCUCUGUUAUCAUUUACUUCGAAGGAUGUUUUAUCACUUAAAUGAAUUUUCUUCGAAGGAUGUUUUAUCAUUCUAUUAUCAUGUUCCCUCCUGGCCCAAAAGUAACAGGGUUUAUGAAAUAUUUUUAGAUUGUCUUCACCCCUGAGCAAGAUAAAUGCUUCAUAUGCAAUCAGAUGGGCCAUAUAGCGGCAAAUUGUGAAGGAAAGGCAAAGAGGAAGGGAGGAUAAUUUGAUGAGAAAGCUGAUGGAAAAACUGGGGCCAGAAAGCCAUAUCAGGUUACUUUGCAAUUGAAUUUACAUUUGGAAUUAUAUAAUGAAUUCUUUGGAAAAAUUAGAACUUGUUAUUUGCUUCAUCUUUGCAGUUCUUGAACAUAUGGACCCUUAUAGAGUAUCUGGAAUAUGAGAUGAGAAUCCCCAAUCCUCCUUUUGAAAUUGACUUGGAACGCGUUUAAUUCUCUUUUUUAAUUCUUUGUUUUUUCUUUCAUUUUUUAAUGUUAAAUUUAUCCUUUCACCCCUGUCGAUUUUGGAUCUCAUAAUUUAUUUUUGGUUCUUGGGUUCAGUGAGCUAUUUUGGGUGCUUUUCGGGAGAUUUUCUUUCAUUUUCCUUUCUCCUAUUUCAGUGGAUUUUAGGGAGGUCUUUUAUUUCAUCUUUAGUGCUGAUAUAUUUUCUCUUUAGUCUGGACUUUGUCUUCUUGUCUGUUAUACCUAUUGAACACUUCUAUUUUGAAGUAAAAUUGUUAUAAACAACAUAGAGCUUUUAUUAAGCAACGUGGGUUAUUUCUUCCAUUGGCUUGGAGGGCAUGAAAUUUGUUUGAACUCUUUGAAGUGAAUUCUGGUUGCGUUUAGUUUUUUUUUUAACAAGUAUUUCUUCCAUUGGCUUUUUUUUAAAGUGUUUGAUUCUGCAUAGAGAAAGUGCAGAAUGUUUAUAGUCAAAUGCAUGUACGAGGAUUAUGAUAAUGAUUUUUGCAAUUUCGUUGUGUUCAAUUGUGCUGAAGCUCACACCAAAUUCGAACAAUAUGGUAGUGCCAUAAAGGAUGCUACUAAGGCAAUUGAAAUGGAUCCUAAAUAUUCAAAGGCAUGCUUUAUCUACUGAAGUGAUUCAGCCUCUUAUGCAGAAUAUAUUUUUGUUCUUGUUCUGAUAGUUCUCUAACUUACAGGGUUAUUACAGACGAGGCGCAGCUUAUCUUGCCAUGGGGAAGUUUAAGGAAGCACUAAAGGAUUUUCAACAUGUGCUUGGGUUGUAAUAUUUCAAAAAGAUUUUUGUUUCAUUGUCUUUGUUUAACUUCUUUCAUUCAGAGGUUUCUAUUGUCUGUAAUUAUUUCUCAUGAAUCCUUUUUACAUGUUUUUUAAUUCAUUAAUAAUUGUAGCAAGUUUUUGCCCUUCUAAUAAAUAAUUUUAAUUUUAUUAGAAAUUCUCUUUCUUUUUCUCUUCCUUUUGACACCUAUGGCCUGUUGUAGAUGUUUUUUCUGUUUAAGACGAGAUUAACAAGUUAUUUCUCCUUCUAGUAUUAGAGAUUGUAUGGGGUGGUGAGAUGUGCUUGGUAACUUUAGAUUUGAGAUAACUUUACCAGUCUUAUCAUGUUCUCUAUUUUAUGAGCUGCAUGUAUGCAAAAAUUUGCUUUUGAGUGAGAAAAUCUUAUGAUGUUAUUUCUUGUUUUACCUGAGAUACUGCCAUGUUCCUUUGCAAUUAAUACUCAUUGCAGAUGGAUCCACCUUUCUUACAUCAUCCUGUCUAAGAUUGGUCUAGUGAAAUUUAUGCCUAGAUAAGUUAGAUAUGGUUUUCUGGCUGAUAUCAUUUAAGGACCUGGAAGAGGGUUCUUGCUAGUGAUGCCUAUUUCCAUAGAUUCAAUUUAGAGUUAACUGUAUUUAUUUCCCUUGCUUAUUUUGCCUCUAUUGUUGAUGCCUUAUUUUUCCUUUCCCAUGAAAUUCAUAUAAUUUCCCUGCAUUAACAUGUGACAUAUGGUUUGUGAUGUCUGAAAUAUAUUCUCCUCCCUCUGUAAUCAGGUCAAAAUGAUCCUGAUGCUACCAAGAAAUUAAAAGAGUGUGAGAAAGCGAUAAUGAAAUUAAAAUUUGAAGAAGCGAUUUCUGUACUCGAGUCGGAGAGGCGUUCUGUAGCUGACUCCAUAGAUUACCACACCAUCAGUAUUUCUUCUUCCCAUUAUUUGUACCAUUUAUUAUCAGGCUAAUAAGAAGCCUGUCACUGAUCAGCAGUAUCAGAAAGGUAGACUUUUGUGGUUUAUUUCAAGUUAUACUUUAUCUUGAUUGCCUUAUGAAGUUUGUUUGGUUGUGUAUAGUUUUUAUUUGCAAUGAUUUAUGCGUGAGUGCUUUGACUUGACAAGUUGACUGCUAGUUGGUUAUUAUGUUUUUGUUUAUUGGUUUUAAUUUUCUGAGGUGGAUCUGUUACAACCAGAGGAAAUGUCUUUAAUCAUAAAUUUACUGGCAGAGAGAGUAGAAAAUUUAAAGGUGCCCAGCCAAGAGAUGGUAAGUACUGAAUUUUUGAAUUUUAUCAAGCGAUGACCUGAAUCAAUCAUGUUCACCACUUUCUAUCCACAUCAUUUAAGGAAUUUCAUGUUGAAGGUAGGCUUUGUAAUUUAUGAUUUGAGGUAAACACUGCCAAGCAUGAAGUUAGUCAUAGGUUCUGCUUUGUAAUUAUACAAUGAAGUUAGGCUAAAAUCAUAAAUCUGAUGAGUGACUUUCUUGUCCCUAGUAAGUCACUGGUAAUCUUGCACUGGAAAUUGAAACCAAGGGUUAAGGUCAUGAUAGGUUCGUUAUCAUUCUUGUGAUUAUAUGUGACUGACAAUAAAUGUUAAAAAUGGAUGUUCAUUGCAGAUGUGUCAUCUGGGAUAAAUGAAGUGAGGGAAGCAUGGGAGAGUCAACGCAAAAGCAAGGAGACUUCUAAGUAAUCUGUCAUUCUUGUGAUUGGCAAAAACCGUUGUUUCUGGAUUUGUGUAUUUUUCUUCUUUUUUUUUCCUUCUGGUUACUGCUGCACCUGUUUCUGGAAGGUGAUUGUGUAAACAUUUUAAUGUGCUUUAGUUAUUGUAAGAAUAUUUUGAAUUAUAAUUCUAUUAUCAAUUUUUAUCAUAUAUAUAUCUUUCAUUGAAUUUGAAGUAUCAUUUAAAUUUGCCGUUUUUGGUUGGAUUUUAUGUUACAAGAAGGAUUGUAUAUGGAUAAAAAUUGGAUGUUACAAAUUUGCCAAAAUUAGUGGCGUUUUUUUAUAAACGCCGCUAAAGAACCGUACUUUUAGCGACGUUUGUGAUAAAAGCGCCGCUAAAGAUCAUGUUCUUUAGGGACGUUUGUUGAUAAAGUGCCGCUAAAGAUCAUGUUCUUUAACGGCGAUUUUUGUAAAGCGCCGCUAAAGGUCAUGUUCUUUAGCGGUGUUUGUGGGUAAAGCGCCGCUAAAAUUCUUGUUCUUUAGCGGUGUUUGUGGGUAAAGUGUCACUAAAGAACAUGAUCUUUAGCGGCGUUUUUUCAUAUAAAUGCCGUAAAAGUUAGCGACACUGUCAAUAGCGGCGUUUUUUGCGGUGCUAGUGAAAGCGCCGCUAAAGGCCUAAAAAAAUGCCGCUAAAAGCCUGUUUUGGUGUAGUAGUUGGAGUGCUCAAAAUCUUUCAAUUGGAAGGAAGAAGAUAUUUGUUAAAUCUGUUUUACAAGCUAUCCCAAUUUAUGCCAUGCAGUGUUUUCUUUUUCCAAUUUCGUUAUGCCGAGAAUUAGAAGGUCUGAUGUGUAAAUUUUGGUUGCGCAAUUCAAUUACAAAUAAAGGUAUACAUUGGUGUGCUUGGAAAUCUAUGUGUACCCCAAAGGCGUUAGGGGGAGUUGGUUUUAGAGAUCUAUUAUUUUCUAAUAAAGCCCUUUUAGCAAAACAAGGUUGGAAACUAAUUACCAAUUCCUCAAGCCUAUUCGCACGAACAUUGAAAGCCAAAUAUUAUCUAAGAAAGGAGUUCAUGAACGCAGAGUUAGGAGUUCACCCGUCUUUUAGUUGCGGAGCAUUUAAGGGGCACAACAUUUUACAAAAAGGUAUUGGAUGGAGAAUUGGGAAUGGAAGAUUGGUAAACAUUUGGGACAAAAACUAGGUUCCAAGACCUGAGGAUGGGAAAGUUAUAGUUUAGAAUAUUAAUGUUAGAUUCACUACUGCUGUUGACCUUAUUAAUGAGGAAAUUGUACUUGAAAAGCAGAAGUAAUUGAAGAACUAUUUACAGAGGAGCAAGCCAUAAAGAUUUUGUCCAUCCCUCUAGUAAACAGCUCCAUGCCAAAUACUCUUGUAUGGAGAUGUGAUAGUAUGGGAGAAUACUCCGUUAAAAGUAAAGAUAAAUGGUGCAUUACAACAAACCAGAGUGAAGCCUAUACAGAUACUAAUCUAAAAAACGAUGCCCUCAAAACUUAUUAUACAAGACUCUGGAGUCUUAACAUCCCAAAUAAAAUUAGAAUACAUCUAUGGAAGGUUACAAAUAAUUGUUUGCCUACGUUUCAAAAUCUUCAGUAUAUGAUAUUAAGGAAUAAGGCCCUCUGCUCGAUAUGUGCUAUGGAGGACGAAUCAAUAGUGCAUAUCUUUUGAGAUUGUAUGUUUGUGAAACAUGUGCUUCAAGAGGUGGGUUUGAUGGUUUCGCAAACAAAUAUACAUCAAGAGUGGAAAAUAUGGUUAGCAUAUGUGUUCGAGGAAAACAACAAUACAUAGAACAUAAAUAGAGCAGUAUCUUUUUGGGCAGUCUGGCAUUACAGAAACAAAUUAGUGCAUGAAGGAAUAAGAGAGCGGAUCAGCGAGGUGAUCAAAUUUGUUAAAGCAUAUGUUGCAGAACUAAGCCAGUUAGAGGAGAUUUCAACAACCCAUUUUUUACAAAGAGAGACACAAUGGGAACCCCUAGAAGGAGACACAAUUAAAGUAAAUUUUGAUACUUUCUAUCAAAAGUAGUUACAAAAAGGGAUAGCAGACAUAGUGUUAAGGAAUAAUCUAGGGUAGAUUAUAGGGGCGUGUGCUUACCCGCUCAACAGCAUCCAAGACCCAGUAACAGUUGAAGCAUAUGCCUGUUUACGAGUGGUCAUCUACUCGAAGAACUGGGUUUCAACAAUAUCUGCGUCGAAGGGGAUGCACUCACGAUCCUGAAGAAAUUAGAAGUCCAAAUGACUAACAGAUCUGUAAUAGGGAACAUAAUGAAGGAAAUUCAAUAGAGAAGGGAGAGAUUUAGAGCUUUUACCUCACAAUUUGUCCUACGCUCGGUGAACAAAGCUGUACAUGAAAUGUCCAUUUGGGGAUGUUGGUGUGAGGAGCCAAGAUACUGAGUGGAAGAGGCUCCACUAGAGGUCGAAGCAAUCACUACAAAGGAGUACGGUGGAAAGUUUGGUUUUUUUUUUUUUGUGAACUAUGCCCGAAGUUGUUUUGCUGAAUCUCUGUAUUUAGGAGAUAAUCUGAAGAGCUCAAUUUUUAGAGAUGUGGGGAAAAAGGAAAGAGGUUUAAUUGAAGCCUAGUGCGAGGCUGCCACUCUCAAAAGAAUAUUGUCCGAUGCAUCUAUGCCGUUUGAUGUGGUGAGGAAGAUGAAUGGAUUAGGAUAGUUUGAUUUUGUUUAGUUUAGGAGAUGAAAUGUUUUUUGUUUUGGUUGUUUUUUUUCAACUCCUUAGGGUUCCUUUAAUUGUUUUAAGUUUAGGGUUGUUAGGGGUAUCCCCAAGGCACCGCCCUUUUGCUGAGCUAAUCUGUUGCCAGCUAGAUGGGUAGGG